GACGAACGCUGGCGGCGUGCUUAACACAUGCAAGUCGAACGGAAAGGCCCUGCUUUUGUGGGGUGCUCGAGUGGCGAACGGGUGAGUAACACGUGAGUAACCUGCCCUUGACUUUGGGAUAACUUCAGGAAACUGGGGCUAAUACCGGAUAGGAGCUCCUGCUGCAUGGUGGGGGUUGGAAAGUUUCGGCGGUUGGGGAUGGACUCGCGGCUUAUCAGCUUGUUGGUGGGGUAGUGGCUUACCAAGGCUUUGACGGGUAGCCGGCCUGAGAGGGUGACCGGCCACAUUGGGACUGAGAUACGGCCCAGACUCCUACGGGAGGCAGCAGUGGGGAAUAUUGCACAAUGGGCGGAAGCCUGACGCAGCAACGCCGCGUGCGGGAUGACGGCCUUCGGGUUGUAAACCGCUUUCGCCUGUGACGAAGCGUGAGUGACGGUAAUGGAUAAAGAAGCACCGGCUAACUACGUG
rnacentral:rRNA from 1 species